rnacentral:rRNA from 1 species
UACGUAGGCAGCGAGCGUUGUUCGGAAUUACUGGGCGUAAAGAGUGUGUAGGCGGUGCUCUAAGUUCGGUGUGAAAUCUCCCGGCUUAACUGGGAGGGUGCGCCGGAAACUGGAGUGCUCGAGCGUGGGAGAGGAAAGCGGAAUUCCUGGUGUAGCGGUGAAAUGCGUAGAUAUCAGGAGGAACACCUGCGGUGUAGACGGCUUUCUGGACCAUUGCUGACGCUGAGACACGAAAGCGCGGGGAGCGAACAGG